AGGUUUGAUCCUGGCUCAGGAUGAACGCUAGCGGCAGGCCUAACACAUGCAAGUCGAGGGGCAGCAUAAUUAGUCGUAAGAUUAAUGGUGGCGACCGGCGCACGGGUGCGUAACGCGUAUGCAACCUACCUUUUACUGGGGUAUAGCCCGAAGAAAUUCGGAUUAAUCCCCCAUAGCACUGAGCAUUCGCAUGAAUAAUCAGUUAAAGUUUCGGCGGUAAAAGAUGGGCAUGCGUCCUAUUAGCUAGAUGGUAAGGUAACGGCUUACCAUGGCUACGAUAGGUAGGGGGCCUGAGAGGGUGGUCCCCCACACUGGUACUGAGACACGGACCAGACUCCUACGGGAGGCAGCAGUGAGGAAUAUUGGUCAAUGGGCGCAAGCCUGAACCAGCCAUGCCGCGUGCAGGAAGAAUGUCCUAUGGAUUGUAAACUGCUUUUAUUUGGGAAUAAACCCCCCGACGUGUCGGGGUCUGAAGGUACCAAAUGAAUAAGCACCGGCUAACUCCGUGCCAGCAGCCGCGGUAAUACGGAGGGUGCAAGCGUUAUCCGGAAUCAUUGGGUUUAAAGGGUCCGCACGCGGGCAUAUAAGUCAGUGGUGAAAGCCUACAGCUCAACUGUAGAACUGCCAUUGAUACUGUAAGUCUUGAAUUCGGUCGAAGUG
rnacentral:rRNA from 1 species